rnacentral:rRNA from 1 species
CCUACGGGAGGCAGCAGUAGGGAAUAUUGCUCAAUGGGGGAAACCCUGAAGCAGCAACGCCGCGUGGAGGAUGAAGGUUUUCGGAUUGUAAACUCCUUUUGUUAGAGAAGAUAAUGACGGUAUCUAACGAAUAAGCACCGGCUAACUCCGUGCCAGCAGCCGCGGUAAUACGGAGGGUGCAAGCGGUACUCGGAAUCACUGGGCGUAAAGGGCGCGUAGGCGGGAUAGCAAGUCAGAUGUGAAAUCCUAUGGCUUAACCAUAGAACUGCAUUUGAAACUGUUAUUCUAGAGUAUGGGAGAGGUAGGUGGAAUUCUUGGUGUAGGGGUAAAAUCCGUAGAGAUCAAGAGGAAUACUCAUUGCGAAGGCGACCUGCUAGAACAUAACUGACGCUGAUGCGCGAAAGCGUGGGGAGCAAACAGGAUUAGAUACCCGGGUAGUC